rnacentral:sRNA from 1 species
GGCCUGGGAGGAGAGUCUGAUGAGCAAGGGGAAGGUAGCCAAGGAUGGAGUGAAAUACAGGCCCUUACAGUGAGGUUUCUUACUAAGCGAUUCAUUGGAGAAUAUGCUUCUAAUUUUGAAUCUAUCUAUAAGAAGCACUUGUGUUUGGAAAGGAAACAACUAAAUCUAGAAAUAUAUGACCCUUGUUCUCAAACACAGAAAGCAAAAUUCUCCCUCACAAGUGAGCUUCACUGGGCAGAUGGGUUUGUUAUUGUGUAUGACAUCAGUAAUAGGUCUUCAUUUGCUUUUGCAAAAGCACUGAUCUACAGAAUCCGGGAGCCACAAACUAGUCAUUGUAAAAGAGCUGUGGAAUCAGCAGUGUUUUUGGUUGGCAACAAACGAGAUCUUUGUCAUGUGCGAGAGGUUGGCUGGGAAGAAGGGCAAAAGCUGGCACUGGAUAACCGAUGCCAAUUUUGUGAACUGUCUGCAGCAGAGCAGUCUCUGGAGGUGGAAAUGAUGUUUAUCAGAAUUAUCAAGGACAUCCUGAUAAACUUCAAACUCAAAGAAAAGAGACGUCCCAGUGGAUCUAAAUCAAUGGCCAAAUUGAUCAAUAAUGUA